rnacentral:rRNA from 2 species
GCAAGUCGAGCGGAUGACGGGAGCUUGCUCCUUGAUUCAGCGGCGGACGGGUGAGUAAUACCUAGGAAUCUGCCUGAUAGUGGGGGACAACGUUUCGAAAGGAACGCUAAUACCGCAUACGUCCUACGGGAGAAAGCAGGGGACCUUCGGGCCUUGCGCUAUCAGAUGAGCCUAGGUCGGAUUAGCUAGUUGGUGAGGUAAUGGCUCACCAAGGCGACGAUCCGUAACUGGUCUGAGAGGAUGAUCAGUCACACUGGAACUGAGACACGGUCCAGACUCCUACGGGAGGCAGCAGUGGGGAAUAUUGGACAAUGGGCGAAAGCCUGAUCCAGCCAUGCCGCGUGUGUGAAGAAGGUCUUCGGAUUGUAAAGCACUUUAAGUUGGGAGGAAGGGCAGUAAGCUAAUACCUUGCUGUUUUGACGUUACCGACAGAAUAAGCACCGGCUAACUCUGUGCCAGCAGCCGCGGUAAUACAGAGGGUGCAAGCGUUAAUCGGAAUUACUGGGCGUAAAGCGCGCGUAGGUGGUUCGUUAAGUUGGAUGUGAAAUCCCCGGGCUCAACCUGGGAACUGCAUCCAAAACUGGCGAGCUAGAGUAGGGCAGAGGGUGGUGGAAUUUCCUGUGUAGCGGUGAAAUGCGUAGAUAUAGGAAGGAACACCAGUGGCGAAGGCGACCACCUGGGCUCAUACUGA